rnacentral:lncRNA from 1 species
AUGAUUUUGAUUAGGUUAGUAAAGUGCAAGUGCUCAACAUUAAUUUAUUUACAUGUGAUUGUGAAUUUACAUUUUAAAUUACAUAAUCUUUAAAAGAUACAUUGAUAUGACGUAUGUAGCCAAGAAGGGCAAUGAAUUAAAAAAAAAACAUUGACCAAGAGUAAUUUACCUUGGGUAUGGACUAUUCUUGACAGACUUCUUUCCAUACUUCCUCCAUUUGUAUCCAUCAUCCAUAAUCUCAAGCUGCGAUCUCGUUCUAAACGUAACCCUUGGGCUCACAUCUACUGUAUUUUCCUUCAUCACCCCGCUUUUACGUUUCCUCACUUGCAUCAUGUUAUUGUUGUUGUUGGUAGAGGUUUCAAUUUC